GCCGUAACUAUAACGGUCCUAAGGUAGCGAAAUUCCUUGUCGGGCAAGUUCCGACCUGCACGAAUGGCGUAACGAUCUCCACGCUGUCUCGGCCAGAGACUCGGUGAAAUUGAAGUCGCGGUGAAAAUGCCGUGUACCCGCAGAAAGACGGAAAGACCCUGUGCACCUUUACUAUAGCUUGACAUUGGGUUUUGAACCUGCAUGUGUAGGAUAGGUGGGAGGCUGUGAAAGCUGUACGCCAGUAUGGCCGGAGCCACCCGUGAAAUACCACCCUUGUUUGUUCAGGACCCUAACUCGCCGCUGUAAUCCAGCGCGAAGACAGUGUCUGGUGGGUAGUUUGACUGGGGCGGUCGCCUCCUAAACUGUAACGGAGGCGUGCGAAGGUUCGCUCAGGGCGGUUGGCAAUCGCCCGCAGAGCACAAGAGUACAAGCGAGCCUGACUGCGAGACCAACAAGUCGAGCAGAGACGAAAGUCGGUUCUAGUGAUCCGGCGGCCCAGCGUGGAAUGGCCGUCGCUCAACGGAUAAAAGGUACUCCGGGGAUAACAGGCUGAUCUUGCCCAAGAGUCCACAUCGACGGCAAGGUUUGGCACCUCGAUGUCGGCUCAUCGCAUCCUGGGGCUGUAGCAGGUCCCAAGGGUUGGGCUGUUCGCCCAUUAAAGCGGUACGCGAGCUGGGUUCAGAACGUCGUGAGACAGUUCGGUCCCUAUCCUCCGUGGGCGCAAGAGAAUUGAGAGGAUCUGUCCCUAGUACGAGAGGACCGGGAUGGACGCACCUCUGGUGCCGCAGUUGUCGACCAACGGCACAGCUGCCUAGCUACGUGCGGAACGGAUAACCGCUGAAAGCAUCUAAGCGGGAAGCCGGCCUCGAGAUGAGUUCUCUCUUCGGUAAGGCCACUUGUAGACCACAAGUUCGAUAGGCCGCAGCUGCAAGCCCCGCGAGGGGCUCAGGCGAGCGGUACUAAUCGGCCGAGCUCUUCAUCUC
rnacentral:rRNA from 1 species